UACGGGAGGCAGCAGUGGGGAAUAUUGCACAAUGGGCGAAAGCCUGAUGCAGCUAUGCCGCGUGUAUGAAGAAGGCCUUAGGGUUGUAAAGUACUUUCAGCAGGGAGGAAAGAAAUAAAACUAAUAAUUUUAUUUUGUGACGUUACCUGAAGAAGAAGCACCGGCUAACUCCGUGCCAGCAGCCGCGGUAAUACGGAGGGUGCAAGCGUUAAUCAGAAUUACUGGGCGUAAAGAGCGCGUAGGUGGUUUUUUUAAGUCAGAUGUGAAAUCCCUAGGCUUAACCUAGGAACUGCAUUUUGAAACUGAAAACUAGAGUAUCGUAGAGGGAGGUAGAAUUCUAGGUGUAGCGGUGAAAUGCGUAGAGAUGUGGAGGAAUACCGGUGGCGAAGGCGGCCCCUGGACAAAGACUGACGCUCAUGUGCGAAAGCGUGGGGAGCGAAACAGGGAUUAGAUACC
rnacentral:rRNA from 1 species